CGCCUGCCCUGUGACUAAGAGUUCAACGGCCGCGGUAUUUUGACCGUGCAAAGGUAGCGCAAUCACUUGUCUUUUAAAUGAAGACCUGUAUGAAUGGCAUGACGAGGGCUUAACUGUCUCCUUUUUCCAGUCAAUGAAAUUGAUCUUCCCGUGCAGAAGCGGGAAUACGACCAUAAGACGAGAAGACCCUAUGGAGCUUUAGACACAAGACAGAUCUUGUUAAACACUUCAAAAUAAAGAAACAAACUAAAAGAACCCUGCCCUACUGUCUUCGGUUGGGGCGACCACGGGGAGAUAAAUAACCCCCACGCGGACUGGGAAAACAGUUCUCACAACCAAGAGCUACAGCUCUAAUCGACAGAAAAUCUGACCUCAAGAUCCGGCAACGCCGAUCAACGAACCGAGUUACCCUAGGGAUAACAGCGCAAUCCCCUUCUAGAGUCCAUAUCGACAAGGGGGUUUACGACCUCGAUGUUGGAUCAGGACAUCCUAAUGGUGCAGCAGCUAUUAAGGGUUCGUUUGUUCAACGAUUAAAGUCCU
rnacentral:rRNA from 1 species